rnacentral:rRNA from 1 species
GACUACAGGGGUAUCUAAUCCUGUUUGCUCCCCACGCUUUCGUGCAUGAGCGUCAGUCAUGUCCCAGAGGGCUGCCUUCGCCAUUGGUGUUCUUCCGCAUAUCUACGCAUUUCACUGCUACACGCGGAAUUCCACCCUCCUCUGACAAACUCUAGCCGUGCAGUCACAAAUGCAGUUCCCAGGUUAAGCCCGGGGAUUUCACAUCUGUCUUGCACAGCCGCCUGCGCACCCUUUACGCCCAGUAAUUCCGAUUAACGCUUGCACCCUACGUAUUACCGCGGCUGCUGGCACGUAGUUAGCCGGUGCUUAUUCUUCAGAUACCGUCAGCGGAACGUAUUAUUCGUACGUCCCUUUUCGUCUCUGACAAAAGCGGUUUACAACCCGAAGGCCUUCAUCCCGCACGCGGCAUGGCUGGAUCAGGGUUUCCCCCAUUGUCCAAAAUUCCCCACUGCAGCCGCCCGUAGG